rnacentral:rRNA from 1 species
UACGUAGGGCGCAAGCGUUGUCCGGAAUUAUUGGGCGUAAAGAGCUCGUAGGCGGUUUGUCGCGUCUGCUGUGAAAACCUAAGGCUCAACCUUGGGCCUGCAAUCGAUACGGGCAGACUAGAGUACUGCAGGGGAGACUGGAAUUCCUGGUGUAGCGGUGGAAUGCGCAGAUAUCAGGAGGAACACCGGUGGCGAAGGCGGGUCUCUGGGCAGUAACUGACGCUGAGGAGCGAAAGCGUGGGGAGCGAACAGG